rnacentral:rRNA from 1 species
CAGCCGCCGCGGUAAUACGGAGGGUGCAAGCGUUAAUCGGAAUUACUGGGCGUAAAGCGCACGCAGGUGGUUUGUUAAGUCAGAUGUGAAAUCCCCGAGCUUAACUUGGGAACUGCAUUUGAAACUGGCAAGCUAGAGUCUUGUAGAGGGGGAUAGAAUUCCAGGUGUAGCGGUGAAAUGCGUAGAGAUCUGGAGGAAUACCGGUGGCGAAGGCGGCCCCCUGGACAAAGACUGACGCUCAGGUGCGAAAGCGUGGGGAGCAAACAGGAUUAGAUACCCGGUAGUCCCUGUCUCUUAUACA